GUCCCUGUUGUCUUUACCUUAAUGAAGACCGUGCAACCAAGUGACAAGUCAGUGGCUGUCGCUUUUUCGUCUUUCCUUAAUAGUUUUGUUGGUUUCCUGCCUUCACCUAUCGUGUAUGGUAUGGUCAUUGACACCACGUGUACUCUCUGGGAAACAGCUUGUGGUGAGGUCGGCGCAUGCGCACUGUAUGAUCUCCCUAGCCUUCGGUAUCGUGUGAAGUCGAUUGACACUGGACUUCAGUUGCUAUCAUCAGUUGCUUUCUUCGCCGCUUUCAUUUUACUGAAAUAUGGCGUCGUUGAGGAGUUUCAUGAUCCAGGCGCUAGCAAUGUCUAGCUUACUUUUUUGUACUUAUUGGAUUAUGUAGAUAACACCUAAUCCAAACAAAAGGACCAGGUAUAUAUCUUCUUAAAUCACCUUGCCAUUUUCACCCUCGUAGCAUCUCUGGUAGCCCGUAUAUCACUUUGGUUCCUCAAUAAUCUAGGGUUCCUUUAUAUAAUAUCUUUUCAGCGUUUAGGGACAAUAGCCUUCCUGUAUGUUGAUGUUAUUAUUUCAGUGCUCAUUAAUACUUGAGUAAUACCACAUACAUGUACACUGAUAACUGUGGAACACGCACCAUGACACUUUCUGUAAGAUGAACUUAAGUAUGGAGACAAACAAUGAGGAUGCAAUAUAUAGCCAGAACUACAAUAACCA